UACAGAGGUCCCGAGCGUUGUCCGGAUUUAUUGGGCGUAAAGAGCGUGUAGGCGGCCAGGUAGGUCUGCUGUGAAAACUCGAGGCUCAACCUCGAGACGUCGGCGGAAACCAUCUGGCUAGAGUCCGGAAGAGGAGAGUGGAAUUCCUGGUGUAGCGGUGAAAUGCGCAGAUAUCAGGAAGAACACCCGUGGCGAAGGCGGCUCUCUGGGACGGUACUGACGCUGAGACGCGAAAGCGUGGGGAGCGAACAGG
rnacentral:rRNA from 1 species